rnacentral:lncRNA from 1 species
GUCAUAAAGUCCCGGUUUGUGAUUAAAGCGGAUUUUAAUCCAGCGGUAACAAAACCGAUCGAGUUGUAAAUAAAGCAUAUUGUAUAAUGUAUAUGUCCAAUGGCAUUUGGUUGUAAAUAUUCUAGUUUUCAAAGGGUUAUUUUAAAAAGCUUGUGAGAGUGGCUUAGGUGAUGACACCUAGGAAAUGGCACUCAUGUAAUAAACACAUGAGGCCAAGGUUUAUUUCUAAUGAUG